ensembl:lncRNA
CUGCUUCACUUUUAAAUGUGACUGCACUCAUAAAAAGCGAGAAGAAAACACAGUAAGUAGGGUGAAGACGAGUAUGAGCUCUACAGUUAAAAAAAUAUAAUAAAAUAUGAUGCAUUUAAAUAAUUUCUUUUUUAGUUUUGACCUUUUUUUUAAAAAACAUUUAGUCAGUGACACAAACCAAACAUCUGUGGUAAAAUAACUGAUUUUAAGACUAAAUCCUACAGAAAGCUCAACCUUAAAUCACACUGCAAAAUAAAGUAUGUGAGUUAGCAGUUACAAACUCUGAAUCUAUUUGAGUCACAGCCAAAUGGAUCAUGGAUCAUUCUGAACAUAAGUAUGUUGCGUUACAGGAUGUGGAACUAUUUUCUUGAAAAAAAAAAAAAAAAAUCUCCAUGAAGCUCCCACGAGGAAAAACUUUUCUUCUGGAUUUUUAGCUGACAGGGUAAAAGUUUGGAGUACAAGGACCGGCGUCCAAAAAUUUAUAGCCACCUAUGUCACGCUGUGAUCUGUUUUCAAAUACAAGAAAUAUUUCCCCUACAUGUGCUGUCAAGAUGAGCUUGAGAGAGAGAGACCGAAAAAGAUGGAUGAUAUCCUCGGACCACGAUGGCGGGCAGACUAACAAAUUCCUUUAACACUGGAUGAAAGCUAUCAAGUAGCAGGAUUACAGCGAUAAUACAGACAUGUGAGAAAUGCUGAACUUCCCAAAGUGUGGUGUUUUCAGGAAGCGGUUGGACUGGAGGGCUGCCCUACGGAACAUUUCCCAUGGACAUAAGCACAACCCAGACCGCAGCUUGAGAGGCAGGUGAGCCGUUUCUGGGUAUGAGAGGAAGUAACUCGUUCAGAGGCAUGGAAGGAUUUAAGGAGAAGAGAGGUGAACGCUCCUUUAAAACCCUUUGAAGGUUGGCUGCGGUAGGCAGAGCCGCGGUUUUCCCAAAAGCCCCCCUAACAGGAAAAACGGUCUCUUUUCCUCUUUUUUUUUUUUUUCCCAUUGCAUAAGAGCAACCUCUACCCCACCACAGCCAAAAGCACGGACCUACUUUGAACUCCAAAGGGGGUGCAAAUCGUUUUAUUAAGUCCUUGAAAUACUCCGAAGGUUGCGUUCAUUAAACACACUCCUUGACAAACAAGUUGUAUUUACAAGACACUUUAUCGGAUGCCAAAGCUUGUGACUCAGACAAGCCUGCUUCACCUCUUCCUGUUCUUUCCUCUCCAUCUUUAUUCAUUCUCCCUUGAGGGCGAUGUUACUACACCCCAGGGGGAUUUCUGUAGGGGAGUUGCCCACAGGUCAGAGGUCAUAGUGUAAAGGCACUAACACUUUUCCAUCACUAUGGAUGUGUCUGUGUGUAUCCAAGUCAGAUAAGUAUACUGAUAGGAAAUAAGUGGGGCCAGAUAUACGCAUGUGGACCUCACACACACACACACACACACACACACACACACACACACACACACACACACACACCACUCUGCAUCUGGAUGAAAUCUGCAGCUAGCA